rnacentral:rRNA from 1 species
CAAUAGCGUAUAUUUAAGUUGUUGCAGUUAAAAGCUCGUAGUUGGAUUUCGGUUGAGAACGGCCGGUCCGCCGUUUGGUGUGCACUGGCUGGUCUCAACUUCCUGUAGAGGACGCGCUCUGGGUUAACGCUCGGACGCGGAGUCUACGUGGUUACUUUGAAAAAUUAGAGUGUUUAAAGCAGGCUUAAGCCGUUGAAUACAUUAGCAUGGAAUAAUAAGAUAAGACUUGGGUCAUUAUUUUGUUGGUUUGCGGAUCGAGGUAAUGAUUAAUAGGGAUAGUUGGGGGUAUUCAUAUUUAAUUGUCAGAGGUGAAAUUCUUGGAUUUAUGAAAGAUGAACUUAGGCGAAAGCAUUUACCAAGGAUGUUUUCAUUAAUCAAGAACGAAAGUUAGGGGAUCGAAGACGAUUAGAUACCA